rnacentral:tRNA from 1 species
GUGGAUGUAGCUCAGUUGGUUAGAGCGCCAGGUUGUGGCCCUGGAGGUCACGGGUUCGAAUCCCGUCAUUCACCCCA